UACAGAGGUGCAAGCGUUGUUCGGAAUUAUUGGGGCGUAAAGGGCGCGUAGGCGGCUGCGGUAAGUCGGGUGUGAAAUCUCGGAGCUUAACUCCGAAACUGCAUUCGAUACUGCCGUGCUUGAGGACUGGAGAGGAGACUGGAAUUUACGGUGUAGCGGUGAAAUGCGUAGAUAUCGUAAGGAAGACCAGUGGCGAAGGCGGGUCUCUGGACAGUUCCUGACGCUGAGGCACGAAGGUCAGGGGAGCAAACGGG
rnacentral:rRNA from 1 species